rfam:Aedes aegypti strain Liverpool supercont1.14 genomic scaffold, whole genome shotgun sequence.
UGCCCAGCAACUCCUAUUCCUACCUUCUCGUGGUACUGACCGGGGUACGAGUAACCGAAAGAAAGAUCGGGUAACCAACUCCGGUGGGAACUUUGAUCGUAUGCUGACAGAGAAGG